rnacentral:lncRNA from 1 species
GUUGUACGUUAUAUUUUGAAUAUUUAAAAAUACUAGACUUGCUAUAUCUCGGCCGCGCGCCGCGAGCCGUGAGCCGUUGACGGGUGACGGAAACCGGUUCGGCGAACUAUCCCUCCUAUGAGGCGACGCGAGCAGAGCCGGCGGUCAAUCGCGAGACGGUCACGAGCACGACGCCGCGAGCCGAUACAGUCUACUACUACUACUGGUCUAUGUACAUUUUUAACUCGCGAUUUUUAUUGCAAAUAAAUUAACCUUUAAUAAACUAUUGUGCUUUUAAAAUAACUUUUAAAGUCAGUGUAUACCCCAGAUCGGGGUUCAAGUACCUGACUACCUCCAGUGCACCUACCGUAGUGCACCUACCCUAAGUGCACCUACCUACGCGCUUGUCUACCUACGUGCCUGUGUCUACCUACGUGCCUGUGUCUACCUACGUGCCUGUGCCUACCUACGUGCCGCGCCUAUCUACGUGUCCUGCAUCUACCUGCGCGUCCGGCAUCUACUAGCGCGCUGCACACGUACCCCGCCUGACCGCUGCCGAGCUGCCUGACUAUACAGGGUAGUAGUGUUCUAUGGCGGGCUAGAGCUUAACGCGUGCUCGAAUAUUCUAAACUCACUCCCGGCUCUGCCGAUCCUUUUGUAGAAUAUACUUAUAUACUAAUUUUCUAAAUUACUCUUUUUAUUUCCUCACCUAGUAGACUACCUACCACUAAACCUACACGUUACAGUGGCGCCCAAUAAAGGUAGAAUAUAUCGAGCCGUGUUUAGUUCUUGUUUGCUAAGCAUUUUGUAGUUGUCCUGGUGUUGGUUGUCUGUCAGUUGUGUUGAAUUUAAUCACAGCCUACCAAAUGUGAAUCUACCCACAUCUUUUUAAUAAUUUUUUUUCUCUCUAAUAUUUAAAUUUAACCGUCCAUUUUUACUUGACCUACCGUCAAUAUUUUUCUACCCCCAAAUUUUAUUUUUUUUCUUCACAUUUAAAUUCAAAGUUUACAUACCUUAAAUAUAUUUUCACAUAUGGUUAGACUGACCACAAACGUGCUGAUUUUGCAUCCGAAUUGUUUUGUCUUUAUUAUUUUUGUCUUUAUUUUGCAACACACUCCUUCUCUGCGGUUUUAAUUUUUAUCAUGUCUUACCCUAUUAAGUUUUUAUCGCUACAAAAAGCUGAACUAGACUAUGAAGUUACCGUUCGUGGUGGUACUGGGGGAGAUUCGGUUAGCGAACUUCGGAAACAGAUAGUUAAAUUACCUCCUAUAUUACAAAUAACAAACUUAUAAUUUUAAUCGUAUCUAUUCCAAACAUUAAAAUCACCACACUAAACCUAAAAUUACUUCUAAUAGAACCCUACAAGAAAGUCACAAUUUAUACACUAAUGAAAUGAACUAUUAAUAUAAAUAAACUAUUAAAUUGAUUAACUAUAAAGAAUAACUUAAACUAAUUUUAUCAGAAUGUUACUACGGCUAGGUAAAAUAAUUAAAAUUGUUAAUACUUAAACUUCGUUGAUUAUGGCUAAAUAUAUUUAAUUUUAAACAAAUUUUAAAAAUCAACUAAAACUAAAUGCACUACAUGUAACUAAAACAAAUACAUAAUAUAAACUAAAUAAAAUAAUAUAAACUAAAAAACUAAACUUAAUAACGUAAACUACACCCACUUACUACUACUACCCAUAACUAUUGCUUUUCUAUUUUCACCUAUUGGUCUACCCCAAUAGUUUAUAUGAUGAUGGUCUACCCCAUACAUCAUAUUCCUACCAUAUUAAAUAUAUUAUGACUAUCGGCCCUACACCGAUGGUUAUAAACGAAACUUGAUCGUGGUUCUACCCCAUAGAUCCCUUCUGUAUGCUAAAGGCCCUACACCUUUGGUAUUCUACGGAGCGGUGCAACUCCUUAAAUAAGCCUUUGCAAGAGCGGUUGAUUACUCUAUAAGUAAGCCUUAAAAUCACAAACAUAACUUAUGUAUUUAUCCUUUCUAAUAUUCAAUCUAUCAAUAAUAGUUAUGUGUAGUUAGUAAUCGCUCGAUUUCAACUUUAUCCUCUACCAGCCAUGACUGAACUGGGUGAGUGUUCUGUGCACUGUAAGCGGAAUACUCAGGUCGAAAGGACGCUGACGCACAGAUGUCUAGUGUGAUGUCGGCUAUUUAAUGUAAGGAAAAAUGGAAGGUGAGGGAUGAUUACAUUAUGAAUGAAGACGAAUGAAAGAGAAACUCAGAUCAGUUGUUAGCAAGAGCGAAAGCAGCGGAUUUUUCCUAGGAAAAAUCCUACGCUAAAAAGAGGGGUACUGUAACGUUGUACGUUAUAUUUUGAAUAUUUAAAAAUACUAGACUUGCUAUAUCUCGGCCGCGCGCCGCGAGCCGUGAGCCGUUGACGGGUGACGGAAACCGGUUCGGCGAACUAUCCCUCCUAUGAGGCGACGCGAGCAGAGCCGGCGGUCAAUCGCGAGACGGUCACGAGCACGACGCCGCGAGCCGAUACAGUCUACUACUACUACUGGUCUAUGUACAUUUUUAACUCGCGAUUUUUAUUGCAAAUAAAUUAACCUUUAAUAAACUAUUGUGCUUUUAAAAUAACUUUUAAAGUCAGUGUAUACCCCAGAUCGGGGUUCAAGUACCUGACUACCUCCAGUGCACCUACCGUAGUGCACCUACCCUAAGUGCACCUACCUACGCGCUUGUCUACCUACGUGCCUGUGUCUACCUACGUGCCUGUGUCUACCUACGUGCCUGUGCCUACCUACGUGCCGCGCCUAUCUACGUGUCCUGCAUCUACCUGCGCGUCCGGCAUCUACUAGCGCGCUGCACACGUACCCCGCCUGACCGCUGCCGAGCUGCCUGACUAUACAGGGUAGUAGUGUUCUAUGGCGGGCUAGAGCUUAACGCGUGCUCGAAUAUUCUAAACUCACUCCCGGCUCUGCCGAUCCUUUUGUAGAAUAUACUUAUAUACUAAUUUUCUAAA